UCGACAUGUCCCCAACAUCCCUCCUAGCAGCUUGGUCCUGCAUAAUUAUUUUUUCUGAAUUUACUCUGACCAGAGCAGGAGUUCCAACAGUAACUGGUAAACUCCAGAGUCUUAAAUGGCUUUAUCCUAUCAGCAAAUGCCUGCACUUGAAACUGAAAAUCUAAUGAAAAUCAGCAACCUCCCUAUACCCAUAACUAAAUAUGGUGGUGAUGUUGUCUGUCCUCUCUACCAGCUGUGAAAACAUCAGUGAACAACUUUCUUUGAAUUUCUGCUGUUUCAACUAUGAAGAUUAAUAGCACUCAUAAAGGAUACAGUUAUAACACCUCAGAAGGUCAAGGACUAUGUCUGUUUACCUUGCCUGGAUGCUUUGAAAUGUGUACUUAUGAACAUAACUCUGCUUGUGAGCUUGUACUCAUUACCCUAGUAAUUAGGAAGAUCUUGUUUGAUCUUGGAAUUCAGUAUUGAAGCUGGAAGACUGCUCCAACAGGAAUCAACAAUUAAGGUAGUAAUAAGAAAAUCGAUAUCACUUUCCUGCUUAGACAUUUUUCCAAGGCUGCACUACACCCAACUAAUCAGUAGUUUAUAUUAGAAAUAUUUUUAAAAUAGCAUUAUCACAUUUCUCUUAACAUACAGAAUAAAUCUCAGCUUAGUAAAAGGUCAUCCAUCAUCAAUUAGGUUAUAGGUAGAGUUCUCCACCCAAGUCCUUUUCUUCAUCUGCAAACCACACAGGUUCCUGCGCAUGGGAAAAAGUUGGCAAGGUGGAUUUCAGAAAGUUUCUUCCCGCCCUUUAAUUCUCAAAGAGUCUCCUCCAUAUACUAGAAUUCUAGUCAAAAAUUCCAUGCAAUGCAAUCAGCUGAGUCUCAGUU